CCCCUAGUAACGGCGAGUGAAGCGGGAAGAGCUCAAAUUUGAAAUCUGGCGGUCUACGGCCGUCCGAGUUGUAAUCUAGAGAGGUGUUUUCCGUGCCGGACCGUGUACAAGUCCCUUGGAACAGGGCGUCAUAGAGGGUGAGAAUCCCGUCCAUGACACGGACUACCGGUGCUCUGUGAUACACCUUCAAAGAGUCGAGUUGUUUGGGAAUGCAGCUCAAAAUGGGUGGUAAAUUCCAUCUAAAGCUAAAUACAGGCGAGAGACCGAUAGCGAACAAGUACCGUGAGGGAAAGAUGAAAAGAACUUUGGAAAGAGAGUUAAACAGUACGUGAAAUUGUUGAAAGGGAAACGCUUGAAGUCAGUCGCGUCCGCCAGGACUCAGCCUUGCUUCUGCAUGGUGCAUUUCCUGGUGGACGGGCCAGCAUCGAUUUUGGUCGCCGGACAAGGGCGGGAGGAAUGUGGCAGCUUGCUGUGUUAUAGCCUCCCGUCGUACACGGUGGUUGGGAUCGAGGACUGCAGCACGCCUUUGGUCGGGGUUCGCCCACGCCACGUGCUUAGGAUGCUGGCUUAAUGGCUUUAAACGACCCGUCUUGAAACACGGACCAAGGAGUCUAACAUGCCUGCGAGUGUUUGGGCGUUAAACCCAGGCGCGUAAUGAAAGUGAAAAGUUGGGACUCUUUAGUGAGGCACCGACGCCCGAUCCUGACGUUCUCUGACGGAUUUGAGGUAGAGCAUGUAUGUUGGGACCCGAAAGAUGGUGAACUAUGCCUGAAUAGGGUGAAGCCAGAGGAAACUCUGGUGGAGGCUCGUAGCGAUUCUGACGUGCAAAUCGAUCGUCAAAUUUGGG
rnacentral:rRNA from 1 species